rnacentral:pre_miRNA from 1 species
AGUUAAAUUUUCUAUCUAUUUCUAUUGUUAAAAAUUAGCGUGGCUGAUCGAAUAACUAAGCAAUUACACGUAGCGUGCCACAUAUACUUCAUGUUGACAUACAUAAACCAGUUUUUAACAAUAGAAAUAAAAUAAAAAAACUUUUAACA